UUGAUUCUGUUCACCUGUGGUUUUACUUAUGUGACAUGAGAAGGGGGCGUUGCUGGGACUGGUUCCAGAAAUGGAGUUGGGGCCAUUUCUGCCUCCCCAUCUCAGAGCCCUGUGUGGGCCAGGUGAUCUGCUGUCUAGGCUGCUAAAGUGACUCCGGGGAGCCUGAUUUGGGACCAGUAGGCAGCGGCUUUUACCUCAGGCUCUAAGCCCACCUCCCAGCUCCCUCCUCAGGAGUCCCAGACGCCUUUGCCGCUAUUGCUGAGGCUUCAGAGGAAAAGCCUCUGUUCCUUAGCCUCUCCCUACCUCACAUCCUCGUCUCUCUGCUCUGACACCCUAUGCUGCUUUCUCUCAAAACCCCCGAACCACCUCCGUUCCCUGCUGGUCAACCUCGAGGUGCCAUAUUCUGGGAAUCCUUUACCUCCUGCUCACCCUUCUCAUAGGGCCUUUGGGCACCUCUGCUGGGCCCCCCUUUGUCAUGUGGAUUGGUCUUCGCUCCCAUCUGAGCCCCAUCCAGAGGAGGCAGUGCCUUGCAGUGGGUUAGAGCUCCGGGGGGCCCUGGAAUCAGACAGGUCUGGGUUGAAUUCCCACUGUUGGCCUGACCUGUUGGCUCAGAGUCCUUCCCACACUAUUUUGCAGCCUCUGGGGGGAGGCCGAGCACACCGCCUGAUCCCCUGGGAGGGAGGAAGGGUCUCGGGUCUCCAGGGCUAACUGGAAUGUCCUGGGCUUUGCAGGGGUUAAGGAUGUCGUGGCCCAGGCUGCACCUACCUUCUCUGCUCGGAAUAUGGAGCUGGGGAGAAAGGGAGGGGGAGGAGGGGUGAGGCCGAGGGUGGGUGACCUUAGUCUGAGCUCUGUGUUUGCGGCAGCCUCCUACCUUGUAAAGUGAGUAACUGAUUAGCUUGUCAGGAAGAAAAAAUGGAUUUAUGUUUGGGAAAGUACUCUCUGUACCAGGAGGAGUUUAUAACAUGUCAUAACAGAAGGGCCAGCUUGAGCCUGGGGCCCACCGUGGAGUGAGAGCCCGAAGGAGCUGCUGGGAGUGGCCCACAGUCCCAGGACUGCCCGCCCAGCUCCCCCAGGGCACCCUGGCAGCACGCAGCCUCUCCCAGCUGGGCGUAUCCCCAGUCACACAGGCCGGGUGUGGCCUGCUAGGGGACAGGUGGGGCUUCCUCUGAGUUCCAGCCCCCCAUUCCCUGUUCCCCAUCCUUCUCUUUCCCUGAAGCAAGGCCAGAGAGUCCCUCCCAUCACGCCCUGGACUGUCCCAAGAACUUGUGACUGGAGCCACUGCCACCCAGGGCCUAGAGAGGGCUGCUUUGAGGCGCCUUAGCCCGCCUCAGCUAAGGGAGCCUGGCUCCGCUGCGCAGGAAGGACAGAGGCAGGGCUUUGGCUCCAAGGUCACGCAGGUGUCCACCCUCUGCCAUUACCACAGCUUCGCGUUCAAGGCCAAACACCUGGGCUCCUUUCAUUCCAGCUCUGUGCUGCAAGCUGGGGAUGCCAGUAGAUAAGGAAACAAGCACACAGCUAAGCGACUUGCCCGAUGUCACAGAGCUGAUACGAGAGUGCGGGGAUUUGACUUAAGAAGCCACAGCUGACCCCUGCCUCCAAAGAAGACCCUCCAAGACCUGAAGCAGCUCUGAGACUUGAGAAUGAUGCCAGAGACUAGAAGCUGCUCGGCGGUCCAGAUCCUGCCCCUGGUCCCUGGUUGGAGCUGGCAGGUGGGUGUUGAUGUUGUGGCGACCGCUGCAGAAGGGGAACACCUGUUCUUCUCCCGACUCUUGUUUUCACCUCUAGUUCCCAUGUCUCUGCUUACUCUUGUCUGGGAGCUCAGCACUUUCUGAGUGGAUGUGACUCUCCCCCAUGUCUGCAGUCGGUUGGGUUGGUUGUUUCCACUCAUACCAUUGAAUAUGUGGAUUUCUGCUAUUUGAUGUUAUUGAUGAGGGUGCUCCAGAGAAAGAGAACCAACAGGAUGUAUCCAUCCAUCCGUCCACCCAUCCAUCCAUCCAUUGAUUUAUUACAUAUUUAAAAAAUGUUAAGUCAGUUUUACUCAAGGGGGCUAUUAACAAUGGAGUUUUGUAUUAGGUGAGCAAGAUCAGCUCAGCUCCUUGGAUAUCUGUUUUAAGGCACUCAUGUGACUGUGGAGGCUGGCAAGUCCCCCUGUACAGGAUAGGCUGGCGGGCGGGAGGCCCAGGGAAGGGUGGAUAGUGCACUUGAGUCCAAAGUCCUCUGCUGGCAGAAUUGCCUCCUCUCAGGGGACCUCGAGGCUUUUUCCGUUUAGACCUUCCGUUGAUUCACUGAGGCCCAAUCCAUGUCGUGGAGCAUCAGUUGCUUUACUCAGAGUUCACUGAUGUAGAUGUUAAUCUCAUCUAGAAAAUACCCUUUGAGAAACAUCUCGAAGUGCACUUAACUGGAUACCUGGGUACCGUGGUCUAGCCAAGCGGGCACAUAAAAUGAA